GGAAUUGACGGACUCCUACGGGAGGCAGCAGUGGGGAAUUGUUCGCAAUGGGCGCAAGCCUGACGACGCAACGCCGCGUGGAGGACGAAGAUCUUCGGGUCGUAAACUCCUUUCGAUCGGGAAGAACGCUUUCGGAGUGAAUACCUCCGGAGGGUGACGGUACCGAGAGAAGAAGCCCCGGCUAACUCCGUGCCAGCAGCCGCGGUAAUACGGGGGGGGCAAGCGUUGUUCGGAAUUACUGGGCGUAAAGGGCGUGUAGGCGGCCAACUAAGUCCGACGUGAAAUCCCCAGGCUCAACCUGGGAACUGCGUCGGAUACUGGAUGGCUUGAAUCCGGGAGAGGGAUGCAGAAUUCCAGGUGUAGCGGUGAAAUGCGUAGAUAUCUGGAGGAAUACCGGUGGCGAAGGCGGCAUCCUGGACCGGCAUUGACGCUGAAGCGCGAAAGCCAGGGGAGCAAACAGGAUUAGAUACCCUGGUAGUCCUGGCUGUAAACGAUGGGCACUAGGUGUGGGAGGAUCGACCCCUUCCGUGCCGCAGUUAACGCAUUAAGUGCCCCGCCUGGGGAGUACGACCGCAAGGUUGAAACUUAAAGGAAUUGACGG
rnacentral:rRNA from 1 species